AAGGGUCGACCAUUUGUGAGACAGGGUUGAAAUCAGACCUCUAGUCACUAAAACGACGGCCUAUGGCAAAAUAGGGAGUCAUUUGAAGAUCGGAGGUUAGGAUUUGAUAGCUGGCUUGAAGUUCUUUCGAAAGACAUAAGAAUUGUUUUGAGAGGGUUUUGGAGGACUUAAAAAUUGUUGUUCAAAUUCAGGAUUUGUAUCAGUGAUUUGGAUUUUAUAUAAUAUAAUUAGGCCUAGCAAUUUUGGCUAGUUCGGACAACUAAUGUGACAUCUAUGGUUGAAAACUUAAAACUAUUUGGAUUAUUGGGUGUGCUAAGCGUAUACAAAGUUUUGUGAUAAUCCAACGGCGUGGUUUAGAGAUAUCUAGUUUUUAUCACAAGAGGGUUUCAGAAGGUGGCAUUUUGAGGUUGGAUAGGAUUUCUAUGAUAUCUACAGAUCUACCAAUUGGAUUAAGAUGAAAAUUAGCAUAGUAUUGGAGGACUUGAAGAUCAAGCUACACACCAAUUUUGAAACAAAGCUAACGGUUGAAAAGGGAGAAAUCAUUGUUGGGAUUUUUGCUUCACUUUUCAAGUUGGAGGCCAAGUGACAUCAGUGCAAUUUUGGAAGUUUU
rnacentral:lncRNA from 1 species